rnacentral:pre_miRNA from 1 species
UUUGACUAUCCAAAUCUUGAAUCGAUUGGCAAGGAGAUUGUAGACAAAUGUGGAGGGUUGCCUUUAGCCGUGAAAACAUUGGGGAAUCUCUUGCAAAGAAAAUUUUCUCAGGGUGAAUGGUUUAAGAUAUUGGAAACUGAUAUG